rnacentral:rRNA from 1 species
CUUGAACGCUAGCGGCAGGCCUAACACAUGCAAGUCGAGCGAGCGCCGGCCGGGUGAGUAAUGAAUGGGGACAUGCCCGACAGAGCGGGGUGACUACUGGAAAAGGUGGCUAUUACCGCAGAUUCUCGGAAGAACAAAUAUGGGAUUAGCUAGUAGGGGGGGUAAAGGCUCACCUAGGAGACGAUCUCUAGCUGGUCAGAGAGGAGGAUAAGCCACACUAGGACUGAAACACGGCCCAGACUCCUCUGCGAGGCAGCGGUGGGGAGUAUUGCACAAUGGGCGCAAGCCUGAUGCAGCCAUGCCGAGUGUAUGGAGAAUGCCUUAGGGUUGUAAAGUAAUUUCAGCGGGGAGGCGUUACCCGCAGAAGAAGCACCGGCUAACUCCGUGCCAGCAGCCGCGGUAAUAC